rnacentral:rRNA from 1 species
AAAGAUUAAGCCAUGCAUGUCUAAGUAUAAACGAUCUAAUCGUGAAACCGCGAAUGGCUCAUUAUAACAGCUAUAAUUUACUUGAUCUUGACACUAUCCUACUUGGAUAACUGUGGUAAUUCUAGAGCUAAUACAUGCAUUAAAGCUCUGACCUCACGGGAAGAGUGCACAUAUUAGAACAAAACCAAGCGGCUUCGGCUGUUUUCGGUUGACUCAUAGUAACUGAGCUGAUCGCACGGUCUUGCACCGGCGACGUGUCUUUCAAGUAUCUGCCGUAUCAACUUUCGAUGGUAGUGUAUCUGACGACCAUGGUGGUGACGGGUAACGGAGGAUAAGGGUUCGACUCCGGAGAAGGGGCCUGAGAAAUGGCCACUACGUCUAAGGAUGGCAGCAGGCGCGCAAAUUACCCACUCUCAGAAUGAGGAGGUAGUGACGAGAAAUAACGAGACCGUUCUCUACGAGGCCGGUCAUCGGAAUGGGUACAAUUUAAACCCUUUAACGAGUAUCUAUGAGAGGGCAAGUCUGGUGCCAGCAGCCGCGGUAAUUCCAGCUCUCAAAAUGCAUAGAAUUAUUGCUGCGGUUAAAAAGCUCGUAGUUGGAUCUGUGCCGUUGGACCCGGUCCACCUUAACGGGUGCGCACUGGGCUCCCCGGCUUUCUGCCGGUUUUCCUGUCGUGGCCUUAACUGGUUGCGGCGGGUGGCUGGCGAUUUUACUUUGAACAAAUCAGAGUGCUUAGAACAGGCGUUUCGCUUGAAUGUUCGUGCAUGGAAUAAUAGAAAAGGAUUUCGGCUCUAUUUUAUUGGUUUUAUAGACUGAGAUAAUGGUUAACAGAGACAAACGGGGGCAUUCGUAUUGCUGCGUGAGAGGUGAAAUUCUUGGACCGCAGCAAGACGAACUACAGCGAAAGCAUUUGCCAAGAAUG